UAGCGCGGUGGUCCCACCUGACCCCAUGCCGAACUCAGAAGUGAAACGCCGUAGCGCCGAUGGUAGUGUGGGGUCUCCCCAUGCGAGAGUAGGGAACUGCCAGGCAUC
rnacentral:rRNA from 1 species